rnacentral:tRNA from 1 species
AGCAUCGUGGCUUAGUGGCAAGAGCAUGGGUUUGGGAGUCAGAAGAAGUGGGUUCUUAUCCCGCCUUUGCUG